CAGAUAAAGGCACAUUGAGGAAGAUUUUUGCCAGAUCCAUGCAUCGGAUCAAGAGAGCAGCUGCUAAAAUACCAUUACAUAGCAGAAAACAGAUAUUUGAAGCUGCUGGUGCCUCUGGAGUCCCACUGACAUCAAGGUGUAGAGUCCUCCAGAGUCUUGCAACUGUGCAUAAACCUUCUUCUAUUCAGCCACCACUAACCAAUGCUCACAAGCAGAAACAGCUGCAUUGGGCAGAAAAAUACAUGAAGACUAAUUUUCAAACAGUCCUGUUCACUGAUGAGUGCCGUGCAACCCUGGAUGGUCCAGAUGGAUGGAGUAGUGGAUGGUUGAUGGAUGGCCACCCUGUUCCAACAAGGCUGCAACGUCAGCAAGGUGGUGGUGGAGUCAUGCUUUGGGCCGAAAUCAUGGGAAGAGAGCUGGUCAGCCCCUUUAGGGUCCCCGAAGGUGUAAAGAUGACCUCUGCAAAGUAUAUGGAGUUUCUGACUGACCACUUUCUUCCCUGGUACAGAAGGAAGAACUAAGCUUUCCGUAAUAAAUUCAUCUUCAUGCAUGACAAUGCACCAUCUCAUGCUGCAAAGAAUACCUCUGCAUCAAUGGCUGCUAUGGGG